UUUACUGUGUUAGCUGAUGCAUCUUGUUUUUUGCACUAUCCCCUUUGCUGCUGUACAAUGCAAAUUUCCCCACUGCGGGACUUAGAAAGGAAUAUCUUAUCAGUUGUGAAAUAUAAUAUACGCUUAAUAGAAGGCUGCUUGAGGCCGUUCUGCUGCAUGUAGCCUACUAUUAAUGCUGAUGUCUUAGCAAAAAAUAUUUUGCUGAUCAUUUUUUGUUGAGUAAAAAAUGUUAUACAAGACUUUUCCCUGUAAUGGAGUAUUUCUACAUGGUAUAACUACUUAGGGGCUUAGGAUGUUAAUACUUCUACCACCACUGCCUGUUGAAGUGUUUGCUAAGUUGCUGGGCUGGCUGCUGUUUCCUAGCAACGGCGUUCCAUCACCAAGCGACCGUAACGCUUCAUCAGUGAGACAAAAUUCCAAAGGAGCAUUAUGACGCCAGUCAGUCACCUAGGUAACAGGAGUUUAGAUGUUAGAGUGCAAUAUAUUGAGAACUUCCCCCAAUGGACUGUGCACUAUAAAAACACAGGCUAUUUAAUUUAGAAGAUAGUUAGUUGUGGAAUUAAUGAGGGUAAAUUAGGCAUUCAGAAGUUUAUCUGGAAGUCCAUCAGGCUCCACAACCAAGGCUGACCCCCACAUGAAAACUGCACUAUCUGGACUACCUUAAACUUAAAACACACACUAUCUGGACUAUGUGCAUCUAUCUGCACUACCUGCAACCACUUCUCCUAACCACUGGUUUAUUGGCAAACAAUGAUUUGGUACAUUACCACCACCAGCUGGUCUGGAGUGUGGAUCAUUCUGGCUAAUAAUUACUAUAGCCCAAAAAAUAAAGAAAAGAAAAAGAAAAAGAAAACAAACAACCUCAUAUUUUCCCAAUCAUAUUAAUUUGUCUAAGACACUGAAAUAAUGUUCUAUAACACUCAUUUAGUGAGUUCUUUUGUAGAAUAUCUAUUUAAUCAAAGUGUACUUUAA